rnacentral:rRNA from 1 species
GACGAACGCUGGCGGCGUGCCUAAUACAUGCAAGUAGAACGCUGAAGAGAGGAGCUUACUCUUCUUGGAUGAGUCGCGAACGGGUGAGUAACGCGUAGGUAACCUGCCUUGUAGCGGGGGAUAACUAUUGGAAACGAUAGCUAAUACCGCAUAACAAUGGAUGACACAUGUCAUUUAUUUGAAAGGGGCAAUUGCUCCACUACAAGAUGGACCUGCGUUGUAUUAGCUAGUAGGUGAGGUAAUGGCUCACCUAGGCGACGAUACAUAGCCGACCUGAGAGGGUGAUCGGCCACACUGGGACUGAGACACGGCCAGACUCCUACGGGAGGCAGCAGUAGGGAAUCUUCGGCAAUGGGGGCAACCCUGACCGAGCAACGCCGCGUGAGUGAAGAAGGUUUUCGGAUCGUAAAGCUCUGUUGUAAGUCAAGAACGGGUGUGAGAGUGGAAAGUUCACACUGUGACGGUAGCUUACCAGAAAGGGACGGCUAACUACGUG